UACAGAGGUCUCAAGCGUUGUUCGGAUUCAUUGGGCGUAAAGGGUGUGUAGGUGGCGCGCUAAGUCGGGUGUGAAAUCUCGGAGCUUAACUCCGAAAUUGCAUUCGAUACUGGCGUGCUUGAGGACUGGAGAGGAGACUGGAAUUCACGGUGUAGCAGUGAAAUGCGUAGAGAUCGUGAGGAAGACCAGUGGCGAAGGCGGGUCUCUGGACAGUUCCUGACACUGAGACACGAAGGCCAGGGGAGCAAACGGG
rnacentral:rRNA from 1 species